AUUGUUACCUCUCGAACUUCACAGAUGGUGAAGGUUUAAUAUUUAAAAUCACGUGCGCUUAGAAAAGCACCAAAACUAACUAAUCACAACCAACAGUACUGUCUGAGUACGCGGAGACGACUGUGAUAGCUGAUCACUUAGAGUCCUUCGUAGAAACAUGCCUCGCUCCUUCAUGAUCAAAAAGACGCGGGGGCGACGAUCAUCCCCCCAUACCCCCCUCAACGAACCCCCUUCCCCCACGGAUUGCUGGGUGGAACCGGAGUACCCAAAGGUCCUCAGGACCCCGUGUUCAGAUGAAGCUCAUCGCCCAAUCUUUCCUCCCCCAAAAUCUCGAAUCCGAACCCCUUUCGAUGUGGCAUCCUUGAUCGCAGAUGUUACCCCGUCGUUCACAGACGAAUCCUCGAAAUGGCGGAACGACAGAAAAUCCUUAUCUUAUAAUGAAAGCGAAACAGGCCCUUUGGACAAGCCAGACAACUGUGUCCGAAUCAAGGAAACAAAAUACCUGCGAGAGUUUCUUGGCGACUUCCUGUCAUGGCUGACACUGGACCACGAGAUGCAGAUUCUGCCGAAAACAGGUCUUCUUCCGGAUCCUCUGCAUACACCCUCAUUUCACGACAUCGGCCGUCAAGAUGACAUUCAUCCUUGUAACUGUGCGCGAUGCCGCGGCCACGACGACUCGUCUCCCUCUGACCACAGUUCCGUUCACUCCGGCGACAUGGGGUCCAAGAUCCUCUCUGGGGGUCUCUCCGAACCAAAAGAAAGAACAUUUUCGUGUAAAGAGUGCGGCAAGUCGUUCAAGAGAUCGUCUACUCUGUCCACGCACAUGUUGAUUCACAGUGACACUCGACCAUACCCGUGCCCUUACUGUGGUAAACGAUUCCAUCAAAAGUCGGACAUGAAAAAACACACGUAUAUUCAUACUGGCGAGAAACCUCACAAGUGUACCAUAUGUGGAAAAGCAUUCAGCCAGUCGUCCAACCUGAUAACACACAGUCGGAAACACACUGGAUACAAGCCGUUCUCUUGCUCACAGUGUGGACGGGCAUUCCAGAGAAAAGUGGAUUUGAGGCGCCAUCUUGAAAUCAGCAGCCACCACUAAGGGAGAUCACUAUCAGUUAAAGACUUGAAUUGCCCCCCUUUAAUUCCCAACGACUUUGCUGCAAGAGGCUUGUAGUGGGCUGUUCAGAUUACAGGCCCAAUGACGUCACAACAGACUCCGUGAUGAUGAUGUCCUGGACGUUAUUACGACGGCUGCGACUACGGAAAAUAUGACAAACAAAUGACAUAAGUCCUAACUGCAUAUUUUGUGCACACCACAAAAAGACGUCAUGUACUGGUCAACCAAGGACACAAAUAUAAGACGUUUUUCAGAUUGGAUUGAAUCUGGGGAAUAGCGUAUUUCGUUCAGAAAGGGCAGGUAUUAAGAGGCCCGGUGAAGGGGUACGGGUUUGAAGUCAGGAACAAAUUUGAACUGUUCAGAUACAGCUUCGCAUCAUAAAACGCAAGAAAUAAACACUGGGGCUAUAAGUAAAGUGUAAAGUUAAAAAGUGCGCGCCGGGCUAUGAUUACAAGACAUACGGUUUAUAUAGAAAACCCCGUUAAUCCAGAUCCAUGCCUGCAGAGAUUCUUCCAGGGAACUACAUAUACUGAAAGGGACAAUAUUCCCUUACAGGAUUCCUUAAUCCGUGGAUCUGUUCAUCUGUACGGUUUCCAUGGUUACCGUUCGGAUUAAAGGGGUUUCACUUUUGUUUUCGAAUCAACUUUGCUUACGCUUGUUAUUUGCCAGGUGCAUCUGCAAUAUCUUCAGACAUAUUGUAAAACACCCAGUGUUAAAAAUCACCCACUUUUAAAUUUUAAUUCAUAUUCUAUUUUUUUUCUUUUAACUUCCAGAUAUUUUAGAAUAGAAAUGGAAUGCUUCUGUCUGUCACCAAGACAUAUUUCCUCCUAACUCAAAUCCACUUUUUCUUUUAAAACUCUCACAAAACAUUAUUCUGUCAAACAAAUAUAUCAAGAUUACAGACUGUUUCUUUUAAUCGAUUUCACAACGUCUGGAUUCUCGUAUUGUGGAUAAAUGUCUUGUGAUUUAUUUAUGCCACGUCCGUCACGUUUCUGAUAGACCUUUGCCUCUAAAAUUCUUAUAUUCACAUUGGAGUGUUAGCGAUAUGUAUUCAUUAUGAAAGCAAAUAUUCUUUACAGAACGAUAGCAAACGUCAAGCUAGUAAUGGUCGGCAAGAGAUUUCUAAAAUGUUUAGCAAUGAAUAUUUCUAUUGAUCGCUAGGGGUCGUUUGCCUAUUUGUCAGUGUCGGUUAGGAAUUCUAAACGGUUUUUGAAUCUCAAAUAUUGAAAAGAGCGAUCAGAUUUUCAAAGAUUCCAGGCUAAUUAGCAAUUCACAUUUGUCAAAAACGAUAUAGUCGCUGUAUCACGUUAGCCUAUAUGAUAUUAUGAAGUUUUUUUCUCUUGAAAUCGACAAAUGUUAAUGGGAAUAUUUAACCGAUAAAUUGGAAAGAGUAUACGCGUAUGGUAUCACAUUGACGUUCAAAUUGUGAAUCGUUUACUAUUCAUACUGAGUAUUGCUUUAUAAAGCCCAGUACUGUCACAUAUGUGACCUGUAUCAUAAUUUCGUUUUACUGAAUAUUUUUCAUGCAAUAAUUUAUUUUCCUUUUUUUUUGCACAGAAUGGAAUUUAAAUUUAAAAACAGUUUAGUCGGUUAAAUAUUAAUAUCAGAAACAUAAGAAAUACACGUGUCCAUGCAGGCUUUACCUUGCCGAGACUACAUGACGUUAAGGAGUGAGAUGUAGUCAUGAUGUUAAUGAGUGAGAUCUAGUCAUGACGUAAGGAGUGAGAUCUAGUCAUGACGUCAGGAGUGAGAUCUAGUCAUGACGUUAAUGAGUGAGAUCUAGUCAUGACGUUAUGGAGUGGGAUCUAGUCAUGACAUUAGGGCAUGAGAUCUAGUCAUGACGUUAAGGAAUAAUAUCUAGUCAUGACGUUAAGGAGUGAGAUCUAGUCAUCACGUUACGGGGUGAGAUCUAGUCAUGGCGUUAAGGAAUGAGAUCUAGUCAUGACGUUAUGGAUUGAGAUCUAGUCAUGACGUUAAGGAGUGAGAUCUAGUCGUGACGUUAAAGAAUGAGACCUAGUCAUGACGUUAAGGAAUGAGAUUUAUCAUGACGUUAUGGAGUGAGAUCUAGUCAUGACGCCAAGGAGUGAGAUCUAGUCAUUUACCCAACGUUUGACCCCCAGAAACUUGUGCGUAUAAACGAGGUUCAUUAUUAGUCGUUAUUGCCCCGAUGUUAGCAGUGCACCUGCCUUUAUAGCUGUUGUUUUUGUUAUUACAAUCUAUGUUUUAUGCCAUCUGUGGUAUUUUGAUGAUCUCUAAUUGUAUAUACAUCUGUACAUAUUUUUUAAGUUAUUUGAAUAAAAAAUAAAUGAAAAA
rnacentral:misc_RNA from 1 species